rnacentral:rRNA from 1 species
UACGGAGGGUGCAAGCGUUAUCCGGAUUUACUGGGUUUAAAGGGUGCGUAGGUGGGUAGGUAAGUCAGUGGUGAAAUCUUCGAGCUUAACUCGGAAACUGCCAUUGAUACUAUUUAUCUUGAAUACUCUGGAGGUAAGCGGAAUAUGUCAUGUAGCGGUGAAAUGCUUAGAUAUGACAUAGAACACCAAUUGCGAAAGGCAGCUUACUACAUAGUUAUUGACACUGAGGCACGAAAGCGUGGGGAUCAAACAGG